AUUGAACGCUGGCGGCAUGCCCUACACAUGCAAGUCGAACGGCAGCGGACCUUCGGGUGCCGGCGAGUGGCGAACGGGUGAGUAAUAUAUCGGAACGUACCUUUCAGUGGGGGAUAACGUAGCGAAAGUUACGCUAAUACCGCAUAUUCUGUGAGCAGGAAAGCAGGGGAUCGCAAGACCUUGCGCUGAUUGAGCGGCCGAUAUCAGAUUAGCUAGUUGGUGAGGUAAAGGCUCACCAAGGCGACGAUCUGUAGCGGGUCUGAGAGGAUGAUCCGCCACACUGGAACUGAGACACGGUCCAGACUCCUACGGGAGGCAGCAGUGGGGAAUUUUGGACAAUGGGCGCAAGCCUGAUCCAGCCAUGCCGCGUGAGUGAAGAAGGCC
rnacentral:rRNA from 1 species